UACGUAGGGCGCAAGCGUUGUCCGGAAUUAUUGGGCGUAAAGAGCUCGUAGGCGGCUUGUCACGUCGGGUGUGAAAGCCCGGGGCUUAACCCCGGGUCUGCAUUCGAUACGGGCUAGCUAGAGUGUGGUAGGGGAGAUCGGAAUUCCUGGUGUAGCGGUGAAAUGCGCAGAUAUCAGGAGGAACACCUGUGGCGAAGGCGGCUUUCUGGGCCUUACCUGACGCUGAGACGCGAAAGCGUGGGGAGCGAACCGG
rnacentral:rRNA from 1 species